rnacentral:rRNA from 1 species
UACGUAGGUGGCAAGCGUUGUCCGGAAUUAUUGGGCGUAAAGCGCGCGCAGGCGGUCCUUUAAGUCUGAUGUGAAAGCCCACGGCUCAACCGUGGAGGGUCAUUGGAAACUGGGGGACUUGAGUACAGAAGAGAAGAGUGGAAUUCCACGUGUAGCGGUGAAAUGCGUAGAUAUCUGGAGGAACACCGGUGGCGAAGGCGGCAUCCUGGACCGACACUGACGCUGAGGAGCGAAAGCCAGGGGAGCAAACGGG